UCCCCAGUGGCUCAAACGGUAAAGCAUCUGCCUAAAAUACAGGAGACCCGGAUUCAAUCCCUGGUUUGGGAA
rnacentral:tRNA from 1 species